GACGAACGCUGGCGGCGUGCUUAACACAUGCAAGUCGAACGGAAAGGCCCUGCUUUUGUUGGUUGCUCGAUUGGCGAACGGGUGAGUAACACGUGAGUAACCUGCCCUUUACUUUGGGAUAACUUCAGGAAACUUGGUCUAAUACCGGAUAGGAUCUCCUGCUGCAUUUUUGGGGUUGGAAAUUUUCGGCUGUUGGGGAUGGACUCGCGGCUUAUCAGCUUGUUUGUGGGGUAGUGGCUUACCAAGGCUUUGACGGGUAGCCGGACUGAGAGGGUGACCGGCCAAAUUGGGACUGAGAUACGGCGCAGACUCCUACGGGAGGCAGCAGUGGGGAAUAGUGCACAAUGGGAGGAAGCAUGAUGAAGAAACGCAGGGUGCGGGAUGACGGCCUUAGGGUUGUAAACAGCUUUCGAAUGUGACGAAGAGUGAGUGACGGUAAUGGGUAAAGAAGCACCGGCUAACUACGUG
rnacentral:rRNA from 1 species